rnacentral:rRNA from 1 species
AGGACGAACGCUGGCGGCGUGCCUAACACAUGCAAGUGGAGCGACGAACCAGGCUUCGGCCUGGGGCAAAGCCGCGAACGGGUGAGUAACACGUGGGUUACCUGCCCCGAUGACCGGGACAACCCGAGGAAACUCGGGCUAAUACCGGAUGUGCCCGCAAGGGGAAAGGAAGCUUCGGCCUCCGCAUCGGGAUGGGCCCGCGGCCCAUUAGCUUGUUGGUGAGGUAACGGCUCACCAAGGCUACGAUGGGUAGCUGGUCUGAGAGGAUGAUCAGCCACACUGGGACUGAGACACGGCCCAGACUCCUACGGGAGGCAGCAGUGGGGAAUCUUGCGCAAUGCGCGAAAGCCUGAUGGAGCAACGCCGCGUGCAGGACGAAGGCCUUCGGGUUGUAAACUGCUUUUAUAUGUGAAGAUUAUGACGGUAGCAUAUGAAUAAGGAUCGGCUAACUCCGUGCCAGCAGCCGC